rnacentral:rRNA from 1 species
AGAGCGAACGCUGGCGGCAGGCUUAACACAUGCAAGUCGAGCGGGCGUAGCAAUACGUCAGCGGCAGACGGGUGAGUAACGCGUGGGAACAUGCCUUUUGGUUCGGAACAACACAGGGAAACUUGUGCUAAUACCGGAUAAGCCCUUACGGGGAAAGAUUUAUCGCCGAAAGAUUGGCCCGCGUCUGAUUAGCUAGUUGGUGAGGUAACGGCUCACCAAGGCGACGAUCAGUAGCUGGUCUGAGAGGAUGAUCAGCCACAUUGGGACUGAGACACGGCCCAAACUCCUACGGGAGGCAGCAGUGGGGAAUAUUGGACAAUGGGCGCAAGCCUGAUCCAGCCAUGCCGCGUGAGUGAUGAAGGCCCUAGGGUUGUAAAGCUCUUUUGUGCGGAAGAUAAUGACGGUACCGCAAGAAUAAGCCCGGCUAACUUCGUGCCAGCAGCCGC